UCUCCCCGUCUUUUAUCCGGGUAUAAAUAAACCUACGGUAUCAGCCUCCACUUCAGCGGCGGCGCGGCCACGGCAGAGCCGGCGGAGGAGCGGCGGGGGAUCCGCAGACGCACGCACGCACGCAGAGAGCGCUCUGCAAAGACGGGACGGGCGCACUGGAUACAGGUGCAGCCGCUGUGCCGGUGCCGGUGCGGGGUCAGCGGGCUCCGGGGACACCUUGCGAGUGGGGGAACGGGGCUGUGGCUUCCUCUGAUGACGCUGAGGUCGCGUCCUUGGCGGCCUGGCAUUUCUGGACAUUUAGGCGGCUUAGUAAAGAAAAAAUGCCCAACACUACACGUGAACGAAUGCUGUUGUCCCUCGGCUAUAGCAAUAGACCGAACAUGUUGCAUCAGCGGAUUGUGACAACAUGAUUUUUCCACAGAGACGCCCUAAAUACUACAUAGAAGAUAAUAAAUAUCAGUAGGUUUGUGGCUCUGGCCCAGAGGUCCACUGACCUCCUGAUCUCAUGGGCCUGUACCCAGCAGGCUCAUUAAAUAAACCAUCCAUGGCUGGGUGGACAAAACGAGCACUAGGUACAGUAAAUGUCACCUUGGGAGCUGUAAUGAGGAUUCACUCAUAUAUAUUUUAUGAACCAAUCGAUCAGUUAUGCCAUUGAUCAUGAGAUGAAUCAAUAAUAAAAAGCCUUGUUGCUAUAAACCAUCAUGAAUAUAUAUUUUUCAUCUGGCUGCUAUCUGACUAAUCAAUAAACAAGUCCUUUAUUUUAUUCCAGCGCUGCAGCAGAUCGGAUCUGUCCAGGAUCGAAACUACCUCUCACUCUAUGACAGCUGGGAUUGGCUACAGCAGGCUGCCACCCCUACCUGGAAGAGCUGCUGGGAUAAUAGAUGAAUAAGUGGAUGGAUGGAUAAUUGGAUGGACUCCUCUGAAGUACCCUGCCUUUAUGAUGAGUCUAUAACUCUUAGUUUGUGUAAGACUAAAUCAUUUCCUAAGAAGAGCUUUAGACAGAAUUAGUCAUUUGGCUCUGAUAAGAUGAGAAAUUUAAUUGGACUUUUAAUGAACUAAUUGAAAUGAUUUCUGCUGAGUCAUUCAGCCAGAGAACAGCAGGUCAGCUUCAAAAGCAAUUCAAUGUAUGCAGGGAAUGAAGUUCAUACAGUGAAUGAAUGAUUAAUGUUUUUACUUUGGUUAGAAUUGGACAAUUACUAAAGAACGUCCUCUUGUAAAUCAACAACUGCUUAUACAACCAACAAUAAUCUGUAACUGAAAUAGCUACACGUUUUUUUGUUGUUGCAGUGAAUCUUUUAAGGAAUAAAGGAAUUAUGUAAAUAUCAUUAACCGUGACUCAGGUCUGUUCAGGUAAAGCUCUGAAUCAUAAACAACCUUCAGACCCUAAAACUAAAUGAACAAGCUAAUUAAAGUCCAGGCAUCAAUAAGUUGGAUUGUUACCCCGAAUCAGCGUUCUCUAUUUACAAAAGGCUUUUUAGUGAAGUGAAAUGAUCCGAGGGGCAAAGUCAUGAUCAUGUAUCAUCUGGUUUAAUAAAGCUUAGGUCAAACAUGUCA